GACGAACGCUGGCGGCGUGCUUAACACAUGCAAGUCGAACGGAAAGGCCCUGCUUUUGUGGGGUGCUCGAGUGGCGAACGGGUGAGUAACACGUGAGUAACCUGCCCUUGACUUUGGGAUAACUUCAGGAAACUGGGGCUAAUACCGGAUAGGAGCUCCUGCUGCAUGGUGGGGGUUGGAAAGUUUCGGCGGUUGGGGAUGGACUCGCGGCUUAUCAGCUUGAUGGUGGGGUAGUGGCUUACCAAGGCUUUGACGGGUAGCCGGCCUGAGAGGGUGACCGGCCACAUUGGCAUGGGGGAAGGGCCAGGACUCAUACGGGCGGCAGCGGUGGGGAAUUUUGCACAAUGGGCGGAGGCAGGAUGGAGCAACGCCGGGUGGGGGAUGACGGCUUCGGGUUGUAAACCGCUUUCGCCUGUGACGAAGCGUGAGUGACGGUAAUGGGUAAAGAAGCACCGGCUAACUACGUG
rnacentral:rRNA from 1 species